rnacentral:rRNA from 1 species
UACGGAGGGUGCAAGCGUUAUUCGGAAUUACUGGGCGUAAAGCGCACGUAGGCGGCCUUGUAAGUCAGGGGUGAAAUCCCACGGCUCAACCGUGGAACUGCCUUUGAAACUGCAGGGCUUGAAUCCUGGAGAGGGUGGCGGAAUUCCUGGUGUAGGAGUGAAAUCCGUAGAUAUCAGGAGGAACACCGGUGGCGAAGGCGGCCACCUGGACAGGUAUUGACGCUGAGGUGCGAAAGUGUGGGGAGCAAACAGGAUUAGAUACCCGCGUAGUCCCUGA